CGGACGCGACAGGCGAGAGAGAAGGAGACGGAGAGAGCUCCAUCUCGCCAUGGCUCCUUGCUCCCUUUCUUCCUAUUCUUAUAGAAGGAUUUAACUCCAAUGGGCUCUUCUUGGCGUUACCUUGUUGGCCUCUGAUCAGAGAUCAUCAUCGAGGAUUUCCACCGUCGAUAGAUGCAUGCGAGAUCGCAUAGCAUUGUUUAGGCGUUGCAGCACAUCCAGGAGAACACAGAUGAGGUUGGCCCUGCAGGAUGGAGGCCUCGAGAGAAGUCCAUGAAGCCAGACCCUCAACAAGGAGUGCCUUGCAGGGGAACAGUAUAAUUGCAACUACAGCAAAAGGCAUUCCAUUGUCUGAAAUAGUUAGGAGUUUUGUCACUCUUAGUGCAUUUACCCAACAUUCUCUUAUUGUAAUAUAAUGUUUUGCCAUUAUUGAGCUUCAGACAUCUAGUACUUGACCCAAUGCUUAAACUGUAUGCAAUGAAGCAGAAGCACUCUGGACUCAUAAACCACAUGUUGUCAGAUUUUGGGCAUGAGUUCAUUAUGAGAUAAAGCAGAUCUCCACUUUGCAGCUUUUGUGCAAGCAAGAAGCACUCUGGACUCAGAAGCCACAUGUCAGAUUUUCAGCAUGAGUACAUUGUGAGACAAAGCAGAUCUCCACUUUGCAGCUUUCGUGCAAGCAAGGUUUUCUUAUGUGAACAGGGGACUGAUUGGGCAGCACACCACGGGUUCAAUCAAAGCUUUGCAGUUUUGCAAACAAUGCUUGGGCUUUGUUAAAUUCAUGUGUGAAAUUUUCCAAAAAAUACAUUCAUUGAUACAGACUGUCACAUUCAUGAACGUAGAAGUUUCAAGCUUUAAAAGAGUUUUCACAUUUUCUUUCUCUGUUCAACCUAGUGAUGGACCACCUUUUCCCAAUUCCGAGGGCUUAUUUAGGCUUCUAAUAGCAGUCACGAUGUUGGAGUUAUACUCAACAGAGGCUUAUGGUCUUAUUUGUUGGAUUUCGACUGUAAGUACAGAAAGUAAUUGAGCAAGCAAACCUGUAGAGAGAAUUUACUUUGCAUUUUAUGAUCUCGAUUUAUAGCCUAGGCCCUGAUAAGAUUCUCAUGUCCAAGGCACCAUGUCCAUGUCCAUGA